GACGAACGCUGGCGGCGCGCUUAACACAUGCAAGUCCAACGGAAAGGCCUGCUUUCCCUUGUGGAUUGCGGGUACUCGAGUGGCGAACGGGUGAGUAACACGUGAGUGAUCUGCCCCCAACUUGGGUAUAAGCCUGGGAAACUGGGUCUAAUUCCCGAUAGGACUGCAGGGUGGUGCCUGUGGUGGAUAACGAUUUUCUAGUGGUUGGGGAUGAGCUCGCGGCCUAUCAGCUUGUUGGUGGGGUAAUGGCCUACCAAGGCGGCGACGGGUAGCCGGCCUGAGAGGGUGGACGGCCACAUUGGGACUGAGAUACGGCCCAGACUCCUACGGGAGGCAGCAGUGGGGAAUAUUGCACAAUGGGCGGAAGCCUGAUGCAGCGACGCCGCGUGGGGGAUGACGGCCUUCGGGUUGUAAACUCCUUUCGACCGCGAGGAAGCCACCUGGUUGGAAGGGUGGUGACGGUAGUGGUAGAAGAAGCACCGGCUAACUACGUG
rnacentral:rRNA from 1 species